CCUACGGGUGACAGCAGUGAGGAAUCUUGGUCAAUGGACGAGAGUCUGAACCAGCCAAGUAGCGUGAAGGAUGACUGCCUUAUGGGCGUUAAACUUUUUUUAUAAAGGAAUAAAACGAGGCACGUGUGCCUUUUUGCACGUACUUUAUCAAUAAGGAUCGGCGAACCCCGUGCCAUCAGCCGCGGUAAUACGGAGGGUCCGAGCGUUGUCCGGACUUAUUGGGUUUAAAGAGAGCGUAGCUGGGUUGUUAAGUCAGUUGUGAAAGUCUGCGGCUCAACCGAGAAGUUGCAAUUGAUACUGGCAGUCUUGAGUGCAGUUGAGGUAGGCGGAAUUCGUGGUGUAGCGGUGAAAUGCUUAGAUA
rnacentral:rRNA from 1 species